GAUGAACGCUGGCGGCGUGCUUAACACAUGCAAGUCGAACGAGAAGUAAAGACGGAAACCUUCGGGCGGAAGGCUUUAUUUCGAGUGGCGGACGGGUGAGUAACGCGUGGGUAACCUGCCUCAUACAGGGGGAUAACAGUUGGAAACGACUGUUAAUACCGCAUAAGACCACAGCACCGCAUGGUGCGGGGGUAAAAACUCCGGUGGUAUGAGAUGGACCCGCGUUCGAUUAGCCAGUUGGCGGGGUAACGGCCCACCAAAGCGACGAUCGAUAGCCGAUCUGAGAGGAUGACCGGCCACAUUGGGACUGAGACACGGCCCAAACUCCUACGGGAGGCAGCAGUGGGGAAUAUUGCACAAUGGGGGAAACCCUGAUGCAGCGACGCCGCGUGAGUGAAGAAGUAUUUCGGUAUGUAAAGCUCUAUCAGCAGGGAAGAAAAUGACGGUACCUGAGUAAGAAGCCCCGGCUAACUACGUG
rnacentral:rRNA from 1 species